ensembl:lncRNA
CCUGAGUGUCCAGAGUUCUCCAGUGUCCCAGUGCCUAACCCAGGCUGCAGGUUUUAAUACAUCCAGGCAGAAUUGCUUCUGAAGUCACAAGUGGACACUCAGCCUCCUGCCCUUCGUUCCACUUUCAAGAGUGACCAUUCCAUUUGCUGUGAACCCAGGGACAAUUUUCAGAUAGUCAGAGAUGGACCGGGAGGGGCAAAUCUGCCAGAAAUGAAAAUGCCUGAGAAAGAUCUGAGUGCUUAUCUGUCAGGAAAGCUGUUGCAGAAGGGGUUCCUUGGGGAAGGGACAAAAGGAUGCGCCUGGCAAGGUGACUUCGGAUGAAGAAACCCAUCAGACCUGUGGCGGAUUCAUGUGAUGUAUGGCAAAACCCAUAAUAUUGUAAAGUGGGUGACUUCACUUGUCCUAGCCUCAGUCUUCACAUCUGUAAAAUGGCAGUCACAUUACUGACUCCUCAGCAUUAAUUUGGAUCAAUG